rnacentral:rRNA from 1 species
GGCUCAGGACUAGCGCUGGCGGUGUGUCUUAGACAUGCAAGUCGAGCGGGGCACAUUGUGUAGCAAUACAGUGAUGUGCUUAGCGGCGAACGGGUGAGUAACACAAGGGCAACCAUCCCCGAGGAGGGGCACAACCCGCCGAAAGGCGGGCUAAUUCCCCAUGUGAUGUGAUGGAGGUAUCUUCGUCAUAUCAAAGACGCUGCAAGGUGUCACCUUGGGACGGGCUCUUGUCCUAUCAGCUUGAUGGCGGGGUAACGGCCCACCAUGGCAAAGACGGGUAGCCGGCGUGAGAGCGUGACCGGCCACAGGGGAACUGCGACACGGUCCCCACUCCUACGGGAGGCAGCAGUCUAGAAUUUGGGCAAUGGGCGAAAGCCUGACCCAGCGACACCGCCGUGGAGGAUGACGUCCUUCGGGAUGUAAACUCCUGACAGGAGGAACGAUGCCGUUCCGGAGUAACUGCCGGAACGGUGACGGUACUUCCAAAGGAAGCCCCGGCUAACUACGUGCCAGCCGCCGC